CCCGGCAUGUCAAAGCUGAGAACCUGAGGUCCCAGUCACCCGGCAUGUCAAAGCUGAGAACCUGAGGUCCCAGUCACCCGGCAUGUCAAAGCUGAGAACCUGAGGUCCCAGUCACCCGGCAUGUCAAAGCUGAGAAACUGAGGUCCCAGUCCCCCGGCAUGCCAAAGCUGAGAACCUGAGGUCCCAGUCACCCGGCAUGCCAAAGCUAAGAAUCUGAGGUCCCAGUCACCCGGCAUGAGAAACUGAGGUCCCAGUCACCCAGCAUGUCAAAGCUGAGAACCUGAGGUCCCAGUCACCCGGCAUGUCAAAGCUGAGAAACUGAGGUCCCAGUCACCCGGCACGAGAAACUGAGGUCCCGGUCACCCGGCAUGACAAAGCUGAGAAACUGAGGUCCCAGUCAC
ensembl:lncRNA